rnacentral:rRNA from 1 species
UACGAAGGGGGCUAGCGUUGUUCGGAUUCAUUGGGCGUAAAGGGUGCGUAGGUGGCGGGGCAAGUUUGGUGUGAAAUCCUAGGGCUCAACCCUGGAACUGCACUGAAUACUGCUUUGCUAGAGUACUGGAGAGGGAACUGGAAUUUACGGUGUAGCAGUGAAAUGCGUAGAUAUCGUAAGGAAGACCAGUGGCGAAGGCGAGUUCCUGGACAGUUACUGACACUGAGGCACGAAGGCCAGGGGAGCAAACGGG